ensembl:lncRNA
AUGCUGGCCUGACUCCUACUGCUUUGCUUUUCUUUUUUGGGAAGGUGUCUAUUUCAUAUUUUCUGGUUAUUGCUGCGGUAACCUUUAGAAGUGAUUGCUUGUCUGCCACCCUCUGCAAUUUUGUUCCUUUCCACCAAGCUUUAAAAAAACCUGCAAUUUUAUUUAUUAAUCAUAUCUCAGCUCCCAGCUGACCAUGAAAAUAAGCUUCAAAAGUAAAUGAAAUAAAUUGGCCACAAGAAUAGACCACAACAUACACUACUGGGAUUGUAUGCUUGACUAGAGUGCUCAUGUUUGACCAGGGGAACAUGCAUUCAGAGUGCUAUUUACUAGAGUAGGGCCUGAAUCCUGUUUCAACUGUUUCUUUCGUGGUUGCACGGAACAGCACAACCCCACGGGAACAAAAGAGUUGCUUCUGGAGUGAGAGAAUUGGCCGUCUGCAAGGACGUUGCCCAGGGGACGCCCUGAUGUUUUGAUGUUUUACCAUCCUUGUGGGAGGCUCCUCUCAUGUCCCCGCAUGGAGCUGGAGCUGAUAGAGGGAGCUCAUCCGUGUUCUCCCCGGGUGGGAUUCGAACCUGGCAGCCUUCAGGUCAGCAACCCAACCUUCAAGUCACAAGGCUUUUAUCCCCUAGGCCACCGGAGGCUCCGAAUACGAAUGGUACAAAUAGGAAUGGUAAGUAAUUCCAUUCGAAUGCACAAAACUACUAUUUACUUGUAAAGUUAAGUGGGUAAGAUGUGGAGUAAAUUAGAAUCAGCUCUGAAAUGCAACUAAGUAAGUGUAGACAUGUCCUAAAUCUCACCUCUAUUGUGAAUUCAGGAAGAGGCACUCUUAGGCAAAACUCUUGCUGCUUUUCUUUGCAGUCAACUGGAUUCUACCAAUAAGUUUCCAAUAUAGGUAUAAAUAUAAAUGUGAUGUUAAGAAUUUAAAAUUAAUUAUUGGUGGGUGGGGUAAUUUUUUGGUCAUAAUAUAAGAUGUGGAGUUUAUUUUUUAUCUAUAGUGAACUCAACCCCUAUUUAUAGCUGUUUGUGUCAAUGGGAAAAUCCCUGUGGUUGUAACAGCAUCAUCCUGGGAGCUCCUUGUUGUGGUAAUCUCUGAGCGGUUAGGCUCAGAGUCAACUUUUCUCUCCUAGGAAACUUCCAUGUGUUGCAAUGCAAGGAAUCCCUGAUGCAAGUAACUGUUGUGGUAAUCUCUGAGUGGUUAGACUCAAUUUAACCCUCUCUGGGGGAGAUUCCACCAAAAACCAGCAGAGUAGCAAAAGCAAAGCUUUCAAAUGCAGCAGUUACUUACACGGGGUGAGCAAGAGAAGCCAUUGCAAUUUAGGAUUGCAAUGGACUGCAGAGUCUCAGUAAAAGUUCAAAAAGUAUUUAUUCAGGUAAAAAGAACUCCAUUGUAGAUAGAAAGGCUUGGGAGCUGUCUAGUCUACUCUAGACUAGUUUUUAAGGAAAAAUAAGAAAGGAAAAAUAACAAACAUCUAAAUAGUUACAUCUUGCCAGGAGAGACAGCAAGAUGCUUCUUGUUAGCUAGAAGAACAAAGGGAGAAAAGAGUGAACCAAAAUGGUUCCAACCGCAUGGUCCAGUUUAUUGGGACCAUAAAAGACAUUCUGACCAAUGAGAAGUUAGUGUCCCUAGAGAUUCACAUUUCUACUAACUUCAAAGUAAGGGAUGUGACGUAAACAGGAUAGAGUGAAACACAGUAAACCCUGUCUAGGCAUGCUUUGGAAACAGGG